rnacentral:hammerhead_ribozyme from 1 species
AUCUAGUUGAAGAUUCCCAGAUGGGACGAAACGUGAGUCCUAGAU